ACAAGCGGAGGAGCAUGUGGUUUAAUUCGAUGAUACGCGAGGAACCUUACCUGGGCUCGAACGUAAGAUGACUGUAGGUGAAAGCUUACAUCUCUUCGGAGCAUUUUACGAGGUGCUGCAUGGUUGUCGUCAGCUCGUGCCGUGAGGUGUCGGGUUAAGUCCCAUAACGAGCGCAACCCCUACCUUUAGUUGCCAUCAGGUAAUGCUGGGGACUCUAAAGGAACUGCCUACGCAAGUAGUGAGGAAGGCGGGGAUGACGUCAAAUCAGCACGGCCCUUACGUCCAGGGCUACACACGUGCUACAAUGGCCGAUACAGAGGGCAGCUACCUGGUGACAGGGUGCAAAUCUCCAAAGUCGGUCUCAGUUCGGAUCGGAGUCUGCAACCCGACUCCGUGAAGUUGGAUUCGCUAGUAAUCGCGCAUCAGCCAUGGCGCGGUGAAUACGUUCCCGGGCCUU
rnacentral:rRNA from 1 species